UACGGGGGGGGGCAAGCGUUGUUCGGAAUUACUGGGCGUAAAGGGCUCGUAGGCGGCCAACUAAGUCGGACGUGAAAUCCCUCAGCUUAACUGGGGAACUGCGUCCGAUACUGGAUGGCUUGGAUUUGGGAGAGGGAUGCGGAAUUCCAGGUGUAGCGGUGAAAUGCGUAGAUAUCUGGAGGAAUACCGGUGGCGAAGGCGGCAUCCUGGACCGACAUUGACGCUGAUGAGCGAAAGCUAGGGGAGCAAACGGG
rnacentral:rRNA from 1 species